rnacentral:rRNA from 1 species
AAUCAACGCUGGCGGCGUGCCUCAGACAUGCAAGUCGAACGAUUAAAGCUCUCUUCGGAGAGUGUAUAGAGUGGCGCACGGGUGAGUAACACGUAAGUAAUCUACCUUUGAGUGGGGAAUAACCCGGGGAAACCCGAGCUAAUACCGCAUAAUGCAGCGGCACCGCAAGGUGACAGUUGUUAAAGGAGCAAUCCGCUUAAAGAGGAGCUUGCGGCAGAUUAGCUAGNGGUAAGGUAAUGGCUUACCAAGGCUUCGAUCUGUAUCCGGCCUGAGAGGGCGGUCGGACACACUGACACUGAAUAACGGGUCAGACUCCUACGGGAGCAGCAGUCGGGAAUUUGGGCAAUGGGCGAAAGCCUGACCCAGCAACGCCGCGUGAAGGAUGAAGUAUUUCGGUAUGUAAACUUCGAAAGAAUGGGAAGAAUCAAUGACGGUACC